CCUACGGGCGGCUGCAGUGGGGAAUAUUGGACAAUGGGGGCAACCCUGAUCCAGCCAUGCCGCGUGUGUGAAGAAGGCCCUCGGGUUGUAAAGCACUUUCAGUGAGGAAGAACGCCUGGUGGUUAAUACCCAUCAGGAAAGACAUCACUCACAGAAGAAGCACCGGCUAACUCCGUGCCAGCAGUCGCGGUAAUACGGAGGGUGCGAGCGUUAAUCGGAAUUACUGGGCGUAAAGCGCGCGUAGGUGGCUUGAUAAGCCGGUUGUGAAAGCCCCGGGCUCAACCUGGGAACGGCAUCCGGAACUGUCAAGCUAGAGUGCAGGAGAGGAAGGUAGAAUUCCCGGUGUAGCGGUGAAAUGCGUAGAGAUCGGGAGGAAUACCAGUGGCGAAGGCGGCCUUCUGGACUGACACUGACACUGAGGUGCGAAAGCGUGGGUAGCAAACAGGAUUAGAUACCCUAGUAGUC
rnacentral:rRNA from 1 species